rnacentral:rRNA from 1 species
UACGAAGGUCCCGAGCGUUGUUCGGAAUCACUGGGCGUAAAGGGAGCGUAGGCGGCGUGGUAAGUCAGAUGUGAAAUCCCGGGGCUCAACCCCGGAACUGCAUCCGAUACUGCCAUGCUAGAGGAUUGGAGAGGUAGCUGGAAUUCUUGGUGUAGCGGUGAAAUGCGCAGAUAUCAGGAGGAACACCGGUGGCGAAGGCGGGUCUCUGGGCCGAUACUGACGCUGAGGAGCGAAAGCGUGGGGAGCGAACAGG